rnacentral:lncRNA from 1 species
GGAUGAUGGCGCCACUUCCUCAGUUUCGGCACUCAAGCGCCUGGAACGGAGUCAGUGGACGGAUAAGAUGGAUUUGCGGUUUGGUUUUGAGCGGCUGAAGGAGCCUGGUGAGAAGACAGGCUGGCUCAUUAACAUGCAUCCUACCGAGAUUUUAGAUGAAGAUAAGCGCUUAGGCAGUGCAGUGGAUUACUACUUUAUUCAAGAUGACGGAAGCAGAUUUAAGGUAAGCCCCUGACUGCGACAAGCUAAAACCCACUUUUAUGGGUGUUCAUGUAGCUCUGUGACUGUCAGGGAGGGCA